rnacentral:rRNA from 1 species
ACUAACGCUAGCGGCGUGUCUUAGCCAUGCAAGUCGCACGGGCUUAUAGCAAUAUAAGUCAGUGGCAAACGGGUGAGUAACACGUGGGUAAUCUACCUUUAGGUGUCGCAUAACAGGGGGAAACUCUUGCUAAUUCGACAUAAUAUCCUUUUUGCAUAUGCAGAGAGGAUCAAAGCGGGGGACCGUAAGGCCUCGCGCCAAAAGAUGAGCCCGCGGCCCAUUAGCUAGUUGGCGGGGUAACGGCCCACCAAGGCUUCGAUGGGUAGCCGGCCUGAGAGGGUAACCGGCCACAUUGGAACUGAGACACGGUCCAGACUCCUACGGGAGGCAGCAGGCUAGAAAAUUGGGCAAUGGGCGCAAGCCUGACCCAGUGACGCCGCGUGAAUGAUGACGGCCUUCGGGUUGUAAACUCCUUUUAUAUGUCAAGAAAAUGACGGUAGCAUAUGAAUAAGCACCGGCUAACUCCGU